ACGGGAGGCAGCAGUGAGGAAUAUUGGUCAAUGGGCGAGAGCCUGAACCAGCCAAGUCGCGUGAAGGAUGAAGGUUCUAUGGAUUGUAAACUUCUUUUGUCCGAGGGUAAAAAAGGUCACGUGUGACUUCUUGCAAGUAUCGGACGAAUAAGCAUCGGCUAACUCCGUGCCAGCAGCCGCGGUAAUACGGAGGAUGCGAGCGUUAUCCGGAUUUAUUGGGUUUAAAGGGUGCGUAGGUGGUUUGUUAAGUUUGUGGUGAAAGCGUGCGGCUCAACCGUACCAAGCCAUGAAAACUGGCGAACUUGAGUGCAAACGAGGUAGGCGGAAUGUGAUGUGUAGCGGUGAAAUGCUUAGAUAUGUCACAGAACCCCGAUUGCGAAGGCAGCUUACCAGCAUGCAACUGACACUGAGGCACGAAAGCGUGGGUAUCAAACAGGAUUAGAUACCCUGGUA
rnacentral:rRNA from 1 species